GACGAAUGCUGGCGGCGUGCUUAACACAUGCAAGUCGAACGGAAAGGCCCUGCUUGCAGGGUACUCGAGUGGCGAACGGGUGAGUAACACGUGGGUGAUCUGCCCUGCACUUCGGGAUAAGCCUGGGAAACUGGGUCUAAUACCGGAUAGGAGCCAUUUUUAGUGUGAUGGUUGGAAAGUUUUUUCGGUGUAGGAUGAGCUCGCGGCCUAUCAGCUUGUUGGUGGGGUAAUGGCCUACCGAGGCGGCGACGGGUAGCCGGCCUGAGAGGGUGGACGGCCACAUUGGGACUGAGAUACGGCCCAGACUCCUACGGGAGGCAGCAGUGGGGAAUAUUGCACAAUGGGCGCAAGCCUGAUGCAGCGACGCCGCGUGGGGGAUGACGGCCUUCGGGUUGUAAACUCCUUUCGCUAGGGACGAAGCUUUUGUGACGGUACCUGGAUAAGAAGCACCGGCUAACUACGUG
rnacentral:rRNA from 1 species